GGGGACCUAGUGUAAGAAGCCAUUCUGAACUCCAAAGAUGAGGAAACUCCUUGUGAGCCAUCCAUCAGGAAUCUCUGGACUUGCUGGAGCUGGACUCUGACAAGUGGCACCCAAACAUGGAGCUGAAGGACCCAGGGACCACUCAGAGAGGAUAAUCUGGUGCUCAUCACUGCUGAUUUCCAUUCAACAUGAUGGAGUUUUGGGGCAAAGGCAUUGAGGAUGGUUCACAGAACUGGUGACGAUGAGGACUGCAGCUAUGGAGCUGCUGGCUCCCCCCGAGGUUGUGACAGUCAGUCUAAGAAAGGAGAGGAAGCCCUUGUGCUUCGGGAAGACGCCAAGUCUUAGAGCAAAUGGUCUCUUUGGUCUCCUUAUGACACAACUCUCAGGACAACUCAGAACAGGUAUAAACAGGAAUUUGAGGAGGAAGCUGAGAAAAGAACAGAGACUUGAGGUUUUCUUAUUUGUUGCUGUAGAUUUACUUUAUUUUUAGCAAGUAAUGAUGGAGUUUUAUCUUCGAUGGGUUUCCAGACGCUAGAAUAAGAAACCUUCCUCGGCCAACACAGGAGCCUCUCUCUUGUACCAGAGGCCGAGAAUGUGUCGGCUUUAAGUACCACAUUCAGGCCUGCGCACUUAGGGACAGUAAAUCAUUCAUCAACCGUCAUCUACAAAGCUUUUGUAUUUUUUAAUUUCUUCCUGUUAAAGGACACAGGUCUGAACCAAACUGACUCCAUGACAGGCUUUAAG